rnacentral:rRNA from 1 species
GAUGAACGCUAGCGGGAGGCUUAACACAUGCAAGUCGAGGGGCAUCACGAGGUAGCAAUACUUUGGUGGCGACCGGCGCACGGGUGAGUAACACGUAUGCAACCUACCCUGUACAGGGGGAUAACCCGGAGAAAUUCGGACUAAUAUCCCAUACAAUUAUUGGAGGGCAUCCUUUGAUAAUUAAAGCUCAGGCGGUAUAGGAUGGGCAUGCGGAACAUUAGCUAGUUGGUAGGUAACGGCCUACCAAGGCUACGAUGUUUAGGGGACCUGAGAGGGUUAUCCCCCACACUGGUACUGAGACACGGACCAGACUCCUACGGGAGGCAGCAGUGAGGAAUAUUGGUCAAUGGGCGCAAGCCUGAACCAGCCAUCCCGCGUGAAGGAAGAAGGCCCUAUGGGUUGUAAACUUCUUUUCCAGGGGGUGAAUAAUUCCGAUGUAUCGGAGAUGACGGUACCCUGGGAAUAAGCAUCGGCUAACUCCGUG